AUGGCGAAACGGUCACUCACGCGUCCGAAAGUCACGGUGCUCGCGUCGCCGGUACAACCAGUAUUGCCAGUGGUUCAACCGGAGAAGGAAUCAGAAAAGCAAGAGGAAGACGAUGAACCUAUGAGUGCGAGAAAGGAACACGAAAGUGAGACAGAAACAAAUGGUGAAGAAACCCUAAAAACUGGAAAAGGAGAAUCCGGAAGCUAG